rnacentral:lncRNA from 1 species
CUCCUCCUCCUCCUCCCGGGAUGCUGGCACAGAGUUGUGAUCGAGCCCCAAGUGGAUUGCAGCGCAUAAUGGAACCCGGGUUUAAUGUGACCGGGACGGGGGGUGGGCAGCUAUGCGGGUCAGGGAGUGGGAGAAUUUAAGAACAGGAAGCCCACCCCCACCCUAGAUUUUCCCAAAUCACUAAGGAUUUUAGUAGGAUUCAGAACCCAAGCUUCCAAGACACUCGCUGUGCUAAAAAUAAUCUUCAUAACUUCUAAAACACUGACUCAUGGGCAGGAGGACACUUUGACAGCAUGUUAUUGUUGGGGAGCUGUAAUUUUGUUGUUGUGCUAUAGCAAUGUGACAUGAUGGCAUUUCAUGUUGUGAUGUUGUCGUCAUUUAAACACAAACAGAUGACAGGAAUCUGCUGUACUUAAAAAAAAACCCAAUCCUAACAAGCGCUGCAGCUAUUAGCUACUCAGUCUAUAGACAAAGUACAUAUGGGGCAUGAGCCCAAAUGGAGACAAGUAAAAAUUUGCAAGGCUCUUUGGUUUCAUUAGAAAAAGUUUUUUUUUUAGAUAUAAUUUUGCAUAAAAGGAUCACAGGAAAGUAUUAGGACAAGUCUAAGGGGAUUUUUUUUAUUUGUGCCCUUCUGUUUUAAAAUUUUUUUUACAAUGAGUCUAUUAUUUUCACAUCAGAAGAGUUUUAUAAACUGCAAGAUUGGCAGUUCCAUUUUUUUGGCCUCAGGCUGGAGUACAGUGGUGUGAUCCUAACUCAAGCAACCCUCCUGCCUUGGCCCCCCAAAGUGUUGGGAUUACAGGCAUGAGCCACCAUGCCUAGCUCCACAUCAGGUAUUUCUAAUGAGAAUUGAACCUACAAAUUGAAAUGUAAGUAUAAAAUAUACAGCAGAUUUCAAAGACAGUGGGAAAAAAUGUACAAUAUCUCUAUUGAUACUUUAAAAAUAUUGAUCACAUGUUGAAAUGGUAGUACUUUAGAUAUGUUGGGUUUAUUUUUAAUUUUUCAAAAUGUGGCUAAUAGAAAAUUUAAAGUUAUAUAUGUAGCUUACAUAAUAUUUCUAUUUGCUGUAGGAUUCAGUGGCUUACCCAGCACUUCAGAAGACAUUUGAAAAUCAGUCAUGUUCCUCAACCAAGUGAUGCCUUUUAGCGGUGCAAAUUCUGUGCUUAGGAAACUUGCUGCUUGCCCUAAUCUUUUCUUUUUUUGUUUUAAAAUGUGUCAUGUGGCAUUUAAUUGUCCUCAUCUUAUCAAGGGUUCAGUGCACCCUAAUGAGACUUGAAUGCAUCACAAAAUGAUUGUUUCAGAAAGAUUGCUUCAACAACAGAAGAUGGAGAUGGGAAGAGAAUGGUGGGGGAUGUGGUAGCAAAGAAGCUAUUCCAAUGAUCCAACCUCAAGAUCAUGCAAAUGUGAACUAAAGCAAUGGCAUCAGGAUGGAGCAGAGAAGAUGGACUGGAGAGAGUUUUAGGAGGUAGAAGUGAUAGAACUCUGGUGGUGACUGGCUGUAGGGAAAGAGGUCAAUCAUCCAUCCUCCUCAGAAUAGUUGGCAGGUCACCGUGUACUUUAAGAUAGGAAAUACAAGAGAAAGAUCAGAUUGGCCACUGAGGGAUGGGGGUUGGGGAGAAAAGGAGAAAAAGUACUUAGUUUCAGACAUAUUACAUUUGAAAAACCAUAGCAUCUAGACAGACAUUCUGAAGACAGAAAAAGAUUCUGCUCUGGGACUUCAGGAUGAGGUUUUAUCUGAAGGUAUAGUACUGAGAAGCCAUCAGCCUGUAAAUGGUGGCUGCUCCAUGGGAGUAGAUGAAGAUAUUGGUGUCAUGGGCUAUCAGGAAGGACAGGGUGUUUAGCUAUGUUGGCUGUUGUGGAAAAGUCGAAUAAGACAAGGACUGAGAAAUAUCUUUUUGAUCUGGCAAUCAUGUCACCCAAAAGAGAAGGAAUAACUUUGAAACUAUUUUUACAGAUGGAGGAAGGUAGCCUGGGCCCAACUGAACUCACUGUGUAUUCAGAAAAUAACCCACAGUUGGGAAAUUCACAGUGCCAUUGCUUUGAAUCAAAUCCUUACUUCAUACCAGGAUGUACCAUGAUUCUUGGCAACAUGACUGGGUAUUGAUGUCUUGUCUAGCCAAUGAAAUCCACAUAGCAAAGAUGUUAUGAAGACAUGGAAACAUGAAUAUGAAAUAAAAUCAGUAUAGCUAUUUGGAUGAUUAGCUAUCGACACAAGACAGUCCCUGGUAAUUGCCUUUAAUAGUAAGGUAGCACUAGGCCAUGAAAGGUGCUUCAGUGUACCUGCCUCAUUUGUGGCUCCCUUUUGGCCAUGUGACCCUAACUCCCCUGGUCACAAGUGGCUGAACCAGCAAUCAAUACCUGACCUGAAGGCAACCCUCUAUAGGCUGGCAAGUGGCCUACAAAGUUGCUCAGUGCUAGAGAACUGAGCCCAACAGAAGUACAUUCUAAUGUUUAGUGAUUGGCCAAUCGUAUUCUUUGUGAUGGUGCUGAUGGGAAGGUAGUGAUGUGCAUCAGACAUGCAGAGUUAGUAGCAGCUGGAGCAGACACAGAAGCCUCCCUAACAAUGGGCAAUGGAGAAAGGAACAACAGACAGUUCUGAAAGAAUACCAAGUGCUCCUAAGCCAAAAGCUAUAGUUAGGCUGCUGGAGGUACUGCCAGUCCUAAAUGAUGGCAAUGAUGGUCCAUUUUUCUGUGAAACUUGACUGUAUACCUGUUAAGAUUUUUUUGUGUUCUUUUUAAGGCUCCAUGAAUGAAUCUUUCCAAUAAACAAGUUUGUAACAAAGGCAACCUGAACAUUUCUGAUACUUGAAACUUGAAAAUAUCUAAUACAAUUUUACAUCACUUUCAAAUCAUGAGUGAAGAAGUUAAUGUGUUAUUGAA